rnacentral:rRNA from 1 species
AGUUUGAUCCUGGCUCAGAGUGAACGCUGGCGGCAGGCCUAACACAUGCAAGUCGAACGGCAGCACAGUAAGAGCUUGCUCUUAUGGGUGGCGAGUGGCGGACGGGUGAGGAAUACAUCGGAAUCUACUCUUUCGUGGGGGAUAACGUAGGGAAACUUACGCUAAUACCGCAUACGACCUACGGGUGAAAGCGGAGGACCUUCGGGCUUCGCGCGGUUGAAUGAGCCGAUGUCGGAUUAGCUAGUUGGCGGGGUAAAGGCCCACCAAGGCGACGAUCCAUAGCUGGUCUGAGAGGAUGAUCAGCCACAUUGGGACUGAGACACGGCCCAAACUCCUACGGGAGGCAGCAGUGGGGAAUAUUGGACAAUGGGCGCAAGCCUGAUCCAGCCAUGCCGCGUGAGUGAUGAAGGCCUUAGGGUUGUAAAGCUCUUUCACCGAUGAAGAUAAUGACGGUAGUCGGAGAAGAAGCCCCGGCUAACUUCGUGCCAGCAGCCGCGGUAA